rnacentral:rRNA from 1 species
GCUCCCGGGAAAUAUCGAUAGGAGUACCAUAGUCGGUUAAUUCUGAAAUUGGUUGAGGCUUAAAAACCGUUGCGUCAAGGCUGUUGAGGCAUUGACUCGAUGUGAAAUUGCGACCGUAGCUCAACCUUGGGGAACGAGCAUUGGUGACUGCUCGGCUAAGAGUGUAUCAGAGGGGGGGUAGAAUUUCCAGGUGUAGCAAGUGAAAUGCGUAGAGGAUGUGGAGGAAUAUCCGAUGGUGAAGGCAGCCCCCUGGGAUAACACUGACGCUCAUGCAUGAAAGCGUGUGGAGCAAACAGGAUUAGAUACCCUGGUAGUCCACGCCCUAAACGAUGUCAACUAGUUGUUGGGGAUUCAUUUCCUUAGUAACGUAGCUUACGCGUGAAGUUGACCGCCUGGGGAGUACGGUCGCAAGAUUAAAACUCAAAGGAAUUGACGGGGACCCGCACAAGCGGUGGAUGAUGUGGAUUAAUUCGAUGCAACGCGAAAAACCUUACCUACCCUUGACAUGCCACUAACGAAGCAGAGAUGCAUUAGGUGCUCGAAAGAGAAAGUGGACACAGGUGCUGCAUGGCUGUCGUCAGCUCGUGUCGUGAGAUGUUGGGUUAAGUCCCGCAACGAGCGCAACCCUUGUCUCUAGUUGCUACGAAAGGGCACUCUAGAGAGACUGCCGGUGACAAACCGGAGGAAGGUGGGGAUGACGUCAGGUCCUCAUGGUCCUUAUGGGUAGGGCUUCACACGUCAUACAAUGGUGCAUACAGAGGGUUGCCAAGCCGCGAGGUGGAGCUAAUCCCAGAAAAUGCAUCGUAGUCCGGAUCGUAGUGUGCAUCUCGACUACGUGAAGCUGGAAUCGCUAGUAAUCGCGGAUCAGCAUGCCGCGGUGAAUACGUUCCCGGGUCUUGUACACACCGCCCGUCACACCAUGGGAGUGGGCUUUACCAGAAGUAGUUAGCCUAACCGCAAGGAGGGCGAUUACCACGGUAGGGUUCAUGACUGGGGUGAAGUCGUAACAAGGUAGCCGU